CCCAAGCAGUUCAGUUCAAAAAGUCAAGACAACCGUCAAAAAGUCAAAACAAAAGUCGAAAACGUAAAAACCCCUUCGUUGGCCAAAACAAUGGUUUUUGGGUCACACUCACACCCGAUCCCAAUAAACCAAGAAACUCGCUCUUUUUUGACAUAAUUUUUAAGGCACCAACAGGCGCGUCAUAAAGUUGUUUAUUCCGAUAUAAUCGGUUUGCUAGACUAGCUGAAUUUACCUGAAUCUCCAGCUCUAUUUCCCCAGAAGAGGAAGGAUUCCAACCGUCAUAAAAUGCCCAUCAGCGUCUUCACAAGCAUCUACACUUCCCUUCCUUUUUGCAGGAACUUUGCCAGGAU
ensembl:ncRNA lncRNA:CR44594 long non-coding RNA:CR44594